CGACGAGAAUUUGCAAGAAUCCAAAUGCAACGAGGACAAAAAACUGGACGAGGACAAGAAGGAGCUGAAAUCAAUUACUAGGUCAAGGUCUAGGUAACAAAGGGGCUGGGAGGCCGUUAACGAAUGCCACUAAUUAAGAGGAACGGCGUGACGGCGUUGCAAAGGGAGGGAGGGGGGAGCGAGGCUUGCAGGUUUGCAUUGCAAAAGGGGAGGGAAGAGGGUUGCAGAGUUGCUUGCAAAGGUUGCAAUGCAAAAGGGAAGGAGGUUGCAAAGCUGAAUGCAAAGGUUGCAUUGCAAAAGGGGAGGAGGUUGCAGAGCAGAAUGCAAAGGUUGCAAUGCAAAAGGGGAGGGAAGGAGGUUGCAAAGCUGAAUGCAAAGGUUGCAAUGCAAAAGGGAAGGAGGUUGCAAAGCUGAAUGCAAAGGUUGCAUUGCAAAAGGGGAGGGAAGAGGGUUGCAAAGCUGCUUGCAAAGGUUGCAUUGCAAAAGGGGAGGAAAGGAGGUUGCAAAGCUGAAUGCAAAGGGGUUGCAUUGCAAAAGGGGAAGAAAGGAAGUUGCAAAGCAACUUUGCAACGACUUGCAUUGCAAAAAGGGGUUGGAAGGAGGUUGCAAAGCUGAAUGCAAAGGGGUUGCAAUGCAAAAGGGGAGGAAAGGAGGUUGCAAAGCUGAAUGCAAAGGUUGCAAUGCAAAAGGGAAGGAGGUUGCAAAGCUGAAUGCAAAGGUUGCAGUGCAAAAGGGGAGGAAAGGAGGUUGCAGAGCUGCUUGCAAAGGUUGCAAUGCAAAAGGGGAGGAAAGGAGGUUGCAGAGUUGCUUGCAAAGGUUGCAUUGCAAAAGGGGAGGAGGUUGCAAAGCUGAAUGCAAAGGGGUUGCAAUGCAAAAAGGGAGGAAAGGAGGUUGCAAAGCUGCUUGCAAAGGUUGCAAUGCAGAAGGGGAAGAAAGGAAGUUGCAAAGCAGCUUUGCAACGACUUGCAUUGCAAAAAGGGGGAGGAAAGGAGGUUGCAGAGCUGCUUGCAAAGGUUGCAUUGCAAAAAAGGGGGACGCAAGGAGGUUGCAAAGCAGCUGAGCACGAAAUGCGGGAGUUAAUUAAAAAGCAGCUCGUUUGCAUCCCUCAGCAAUAACGACGACGAAGAUUUGACCCCGGAACAAAAAGCCGAAAGGGAAAAAGAAAGGAGGAUGGCCAACAACGCCAGGGAAAGGUUGAGGGUG